rnacentral:rRNA from 1 species
UAGGGAAUCUUCGGCAAUGGGGGGAACCCUGACCGAGCAACGCCGCGUGAGUGAAGAGGGUUUUCGGAUCGUAAAGCUCUGUUGUUAAGGAAGAACGAGUGUGAGAAUGGAAAGUUCAUACUGUGACGGUACUUAACCAGAAAGGGACGGCUAACUACGUGCCAGCAGCCGCGGUAAUACGUAGGUGGCAAGCGUUGUCCGGAUUUAUUGGGCGUAAAGCGAGCGCAGGCGGUCAAUUAAGUCUGAUGUGAAAGCCCCCGGCUCAACCGGGGAGGGUCAUUGGAAACUGGUUGACUUGAGUGCAGAAGAGGAGAGUGGAAUUCCAUGUGUAGCGGUGAAAUGCGUAGAUAUAUGGAGGAACACCAGUGGCGAAGGCGACUCUCUGGUCUGUAACUGACGCUGAGGCUCGAAAGCGUGGGUAGCAAACAGG